rfam:Solanum tuberosum cultivar DM 1-3 516 R44 scf00502_19, whole genome shotgun sequence.
UUGGAGGAUUUAAAGACUUCAACUUGCAUACUUGGAAGAUUUGAAGACUUCAGCUUGCAUACUUGGAGGAUUUGAAGAUUUCAACU